AGUGCGAUAAGGGGACCCCAAGUGCGAGGGCAUAUAGUCCUCGCUUUUUCCGACCGUAAGGUGGUCGGCGAAUAAGGGCUGGGCAAGACCGGUGCCAGCCGCCGCGGUAAUACCGGCAGCCCAAGUGAUGACCGAUAUUAUUGGGCCUAAAGCGUCCGUAGCCGGCCAUGAAGGUUCAUCGGGAAAUCCGCCAGCUUAACUGGCGGGCGUCCGGUGAAAACCACAUGGCUUGGGACCGGAAGGCUCGAGGGGUACGUCCGGGGUAGGAGUGAAAUCCCGUAAUCCUGGACGGACCACCGAUGGCGAAAGCACCUCGAGAAGACGGAUCCGACGGUGAGGGACGAAAGCUAGGGUCUCGAACCGGAUUAGAUACCCGGGUAGUCCUAGCUGUAAACGAUGCUCGCUAGGUGUGGCACAGGCUACGAGCCUGUGCUGUGCCGUAGGGAAGCCGAGAAGCGAGCCGCCUGGGAAG
rnacentral:rRNA from 1 species